GGUUGUGGCUCAGCGGUAGAGCACUCACCUUGCAAGGGCAGGGCCCUGGGUUCGAUCCUCAGCACCA
rnacentral:tRNA from 1 species